CCCCAGCUGGGGGCCCUCGGGGCAGAGAUGAAGGAAAGAAACACUCCCAAGGUGAAAUACAAAGGGCCAAGAAUCCCUGUGGGAAAGAUAAAGAUUUGGGGCAACAGAUCUUUGUAAAGCAAACUACCCCCACCCUCAUCAGGACCUGACCUCCAAACCGAAGCUUAUACUGCCGGCUCACUUCUUGUUAAUUGCCGAUACGCAGCUGAAGUAGCUCCCUGACCUCUUUGGAGGACGGCGUCAUUUCAGUACCAAGUAUCACCAUUAUUGGGCUUAUUAACUUCAUUAAAACCGGUCUUGACUAGGAGUGGAGAUCGGAACUCUCUGGAUGUCUUUAAGCCAGUGUUCG
rnacentral:lncRNA from 10 species